UACGUAGGGUGCGAGCGUUGCCCGGAUUUAUUGGGCGUAAAGGGCGCGUAGGCGGCUCGGCACGUCCGUUGUGAAAUCGCCCGGCUCAACUGGGCGGGGUCAGCGGAUACGGUCGAGCUUGAGCAAGCUAGGGGGCAAUGGAAUUCCCGGUGUAGUGGUGGAAUGCGUAGAUAUCGGGAGGAACACCAGUGGCGAAGGCAGCCACCUGGGCUAACACUGACGCUCAUGCACGAAAGCGUGGGGAGCAAACAGG
rnacentral:rRNA from 1 species